UAAGACGAACCGUGCGAACGUUAUUCGGAAUCACUGGGCUUAAAGCGCGUGUAGGCGGAUGGGAACGUCGGUAGUUGAAAGCCCCCGGCUCAACCGGGGAAGUGGUGCCGAAACGACCCGUCUGGAGGGACGUAGGGGGACCUGGAACUUCCGGUGGAGCGGUGAAAUGCGUUGAGAUCGGAAGGAACGCCCGUGGCGAAAGCGAGGUCCUGGACGUCUACUGACGCUGAGACGCGAAAGCUAGGGGAGCAAACGGGAUUAGAUACCCCGGUAGUCCUAGCCGUAAACGAUGGGCACUGGGUAGGGGGCUCGCCGAUGGGCUCUCUGCCGUAGGGAAACCGUGAAGUGCCCCGCCUGGGGAGUAUGGUCGCAAGGCUG
rnacentral:rRNA from 1 species